rnacentral:rRNA from 1 species
UGCCAGCCGCCGCGGUAAUACGGAGGGUGCAAGCGUUGUUCGGAAUCAUUGGGCGUAAAGCGAGUGUAGGCGGCUAGGUGAGUCGGAUGUGAAAUCCCGGGGCCCAACCCCGGAACUGCAUUCGAUACUGCCUGGCUAGAGUCCCGGAGAGGAUGGCGGAAUUCCCGGUGUAGAGGUGAAAUUCGUAGAUAUCGGGAGGAACACCAGUGGCGAAGGCGGCCAUCUGGACGGUGACUGACGCUCAGACUCGAAAGCGUGGGGAGCAAACAGGAUUAGAUA